AGAGUUUGAUCCUGGCUCAGAACGAACGUUAGCGGCGCGCUUAACACAUGCAAGUCGAGCGAGAAAGGGCUUCGGCCCCGGUAAAGCGGCGCACGGGUGAGUAACACGUAGGUAAUUUGCCCUCGGGUGGUGGAUAACUUUCCGAAAGGAAGGCUAAUACAGCAUGAGACCACGGUUUCGAAAGAGAUUGAGGUCAAAGCCGGCCAAUUCAUGAAAGCUGGUGCCUGAGGAUGAGCCUGCGGCCCAUCAGCUAGUUGGUAGGGUAAUGGCCUACCAAGGCAAAGACGGGUAGCUGGUCUGAGAGGAUGAUCAGCCACACUGGAACUGAGACACGGUCCAGACUCCUACGGGAGGCAGCAGUGGGGAAUCUUGCGCAAUGGGCGAAAGCCUGACGCAGCGACGCCGCGUGAGUGAUGAAGGCCCUCGGGUUGUAAAGCUCUGUGGAGGGGGACGAAUAAGGGUUGGUUAAUACCCAACUCG
rnacentral:rRNA from 1 species